GCCACGCUGGGCGGCGGCGGGGGCGCGAUGGCGCUGGUGCUGCCGUUGCCGCUGCUGCUGUUCUUCGCGGCGGCGUGCGUC
rnacentral:tRNA from 1 species